rnacentral:tRNA from 1 species
AUGGCACAGUGGAUAGAGCACCAGCCCUGAACUCUGGAGGAUCUGAGUUCAAAUCUCAGU